rnacentral:rRNA from 1 species
AUUUUAAGUUCCAACUUGAACUCGCCCCAUCUCAUCUGACCUCAGAAGCUAAGCAGGGUUGAGUCUAUUUGGCCAUCAGAUGGGAGUCUGGCUGGAACUAGCAAGUGCUGAAAGUU